ACUGAUGGGAGCUUGCUCCCUGAGGUUAGCGGCGGACGGGUGAGUAACACGUGGGCAACCUGCCUGUAAGACGGGGAUAACUCCGGGAAACCGGGGCUAAUACCGGAUAACCCGUUCCACCUCAUGGUGGAGCGGUAAAAGAUGGCCUCUGGCUAUCACUUACAGAUGGGCCCGCGGCGCAUUAGCUAGUUGGUAAGGUAACGGCUUACCAAGGCGACGAUGCGUAGCCGACCUGAGAGGGUGAUCGGCCACACUGGGACUGAGACACGGCCCAGACUCCUACGGGAGGCAGCAGUAGGGAAUCUUCCGCAAUGGACGAAAGUCUGACGGAGCAACGCCGCGUGAGUGAUGAAGGUUUUCGGAUCGUAAAGCUCUGUUGUUAGGGAAGAACAAGUGCCGUUUGAAUAAGGCGGCACCUUGACGGUACCUAACCAGAAAGCCACGGCUAACUACGUGCCAGCAGCCGCGGUAAUACGUAGGUGGCAAGCGUUGUCCGGAAUUAUUGGGCGUAAAGCGCGCGCAGGCGGUCUCUUAAGUCUGAUGUGAAAGCCCACGGCUCAACCCGUGGAGGGUCAUUGGAAACUGGGAGACUUGAGUACAGAAGAGGAGAGUGGAAUUCCACGUGUAGCGGUGAAAUGCGUAGAUAUGUGGAGGAACACCAGUGGCGAAGGCGACUCUCUGGUCUGUAACUGACGCUGAG
rnacentral:rRNA from 1 species